GUCUAUGGCCAUGCUACCCUGAAUAAGCCUGAUGUCUGACCUCAGAAGCUAAGCAGGGUCAGGCCUGGUUAGUACUUGGAUGGGAGACCAUCUAGGAAUACCAGGUGCUAUAGGCA
rnacentral:rRNA from 1 species